ACAUUUACACAUAGACCCUCCAAAGGCAAUGGGAAUAUUUGCCAUUGAUUUCAGUGAAAGCAAGAUGGGACCCAUACAAUAAUCUGUAAUAAUUGCUUGCAGUAGAAUGCAAGAGUUGUACAAUUGUUACUGCUCUGAUCUGAGAAACCUCAAAUCCAUAACCAUAAAAUGUUUAUUCACACUGAAAACAGCUACAUACUUUGCAGGGCUGAGCUUUUUCCUUGUUAACCAGCAGCUGCAUUCCUGCAGAAGGUCUUAUAUGCUAAGUACAGACAUUCAGGGAUGUUAGGGGGAGGGGAUCAGGGUCCAAAUGGCAAACUGAUCUAAGGUAAGUCAGGAUUGGGGGCCUAGCAGGAGGGGUGGGGGGGUAGGUGCAACCUGUGGGAGUGAUCAAGGAGAUCAGUGUGGCAGGUGCAAUCUGCAAGGGAUUGCUGGAGGGUCUGGUAGGAUCAGGGGGAUUCAUGGGGUCUGCAGGGGGAUUUGAGGCAGGGACCAGGGGCUAUUUUUAGCUCCCUGACCUCCCCCCCCACCCCAUGAACAUACACACUCAUCAGUCCUACCACCUGGAGCAGUGUGUGGGAUGGGCUUUGGUGGGAAACUGGCUGGUCUGUGAGGAAAAGAGGGAAGGAGGGGUGAGGGACUGGGACACUAAAAAUAGCCCAAUUUCAGGCAUGGGUUUGUGAAAAGCACAGCCUUUGGGCUGGAGCAAGGGCUGGGGCUGGCAGGGCUUUCCCAGCCCCAUGGCUGCACAGGUGGGUGCACUG